UACGUAGGGUCCGAGCGUUGUCCGGAAUUACUGGGCGUAAAGAGCUCGUAGGUGGUUUGUCGCGUUGUUCGUGAAAACUCACAGCUCAACUGUGGGCGUGCGGGCGAUACGGGCAGACUAGAGUACUGCAGGGGGAGACUGGAAUUCCUGGUGUAGCGGUGGAAUGCGCAGAUAUCAGGAGGAACACCGGUGGCGAAGGCGGCAUCCUGGACCGACACUGACGCUGAGGAGCGAAAGCCAGGGGGAGCAAAACGGGG
rnacentral:rRNA from 1 species